rnacentral:rRNA from 1 species
AACGAACGCUGGCGGCAGGCUUAACACAUGCAAGUCGAGCGCCCCGCCAGGGGAGCGGCAGACGGGUGAGUAACGCGUGGGAACGUACCUUUUGGUUCGGAACAACUCCGGGAAACUGGAGCUAAUACCGGAUAAGCCCUAACGGGGAAAGAUUUAUCGCCGAAAGGUCGGCGCGCGUCUGAUUAGCUAGUUGUUGAGUUAACGGCGCAGCAAGGCGACGAUCAUGAGGUGGUCUGAGAGGAUGAUCAGACACACUGGGACUGGGACACGGCCCAGACUCCUAGGGAGGGGGGAAGUGGGAAUUAUAGAAAAAGGGGGGCAGGCUAGAUCCCGCCCGGCCGGGGGAGGGAUGAGGUCGUAAGGGUUGAAAAGCUUUUUUGUCCGGGAAGAUAAGGACGUUACCGAAAAAAUAGGCCCCGGCAAACUUCGUG